rnacentral:rRNA from 1 species
UACGUAGGGUGCAAGCGUUAAUCGGAAUUACUGGGCGUAAAGCGUGCGCAGGCGGUUUUGUAAGUUUGUCGUGAAAUCCCCGGGCUUAACCUGGGAAUUGCGAUGAAGACUGCAAGGCUAGAAUUUGGCAGAGGGGGGUAGAAUUCCACGUGUAGCAGUGAAAUGCGUAGAGAUGUGGAGGAACACCGAUGGCGAAGGCAGCCCCCUGGGUCAAGAUUGACGCUCAUGCACGAAAGCGUGGGGAGCAAACAGG